rnacentral:misc_RNA from 1 species
GAUGAAGAACGUAGCGAAAUGCGAUAAGCAAUGUGAAUUGCAGAAUUCAGUGAAUCAUCGAAUCUUUGAACGCACCUUGCGCUCCUUGGUAUUCCGAGGAGCAUGCCUGUUUGAGUGUCAUUAAAUUCUCAACCUCACCAGUUUUGUAACGAGACAGGUGAAGGCUUGGAUGUGGGGGUUUUGCAGGCUGCCUCAGUGCUGGUCUGCUCUCCUGAAAUGCAUUAGCGAGCUCAUAUUGAGCUUCCGUCUAUUGGUGUGAUAAUUAUCUACGCCGUGGAUUGGACUCAUGCUUGCUUCUAACCGUCCGCAAGGACAAUUUACUUGACCAAUUUGACCUCAAAUCAGGUAGGACUACCCGCUGAACUUAAGCAUAUCAAUAAGCGGAGGA